rnacentral:rRNA from 1 species
AACGAACGCUGGCGGCAGGCCUAACACAUGCAAGUCGAACGCCGUAGCAAUACGGAGUGGCAGACGGGUGAGUAACACGUGGGAACAUACCCUUCGGUUCGGAAUAACUCAGGGAAACUUGAGCUAAUACCGGAUACGUCCGCGAGGAGAAAGAUUCAUCGCCGGAGGAUUGGCCCGCGUCUGAUUAGCUUGUUGGUGAGGUAACGGCUCACCAAGGCGACGAUCAGUAGCUGGUCUGAGAGGAUGAUCAGCCACAUUGGGACUGAGACACGGCCCAAACUCCUACGGGAGGCAGCAGUGGGGAAUAUUGGACAAUGGGCGCAAGCCUGAUCCAGCCAUGCCGCGUGAGUGAUGAAGGCCCUAGGGUUGUAAAGCUCUUUUACCCGGGAAGAUAAUGACUGUACCGGGAGAAUAAGCCCCGG